CGGAAUUACUGGGCGUAAAGCGCAUGCAGGUGGUUUGUUAAGUCAGAUGUGAAAGCCCGGGGCUCAACCUCGGAAUUGCAUUUGAAACUGGCAAACUAGAGUACUGUAGAGGGGGUAGAAUUUCAGGUGUAGCGGUGAAAAUGCGUAGAGAUCUGAAGGAAUACCGGUGGCGAAGGCGGCCCCCCUGGACGGAUACUGACACUCAGAUGCGAAAGCGUGGGGAGCAAACAGGAUUAGAUACCCUGGUAG
rnacentral:rRNA from 1 species